AACGAACGCUGGCGGCAGGCCUAACACAUGCAAGUCGAACGCCCUAGCAAUAGGGAGUGGCAGACGGGUGAGUAACACGUGGGAACCUUCCCUAUAGUACGGAAUAGCCCAGGGAAACUUGGAGUAAUCCCGUAUACGCCCGAGAGGGGAAAGAUUUAUCGCUAUAGGAUGGGCCCGCGUAGGAUUAGCUAGUUGGUGAGGUAAUGGAUCACCAAGGCGACGAUCCUUAGCUGGUCUGAGAGGACGACCAGCCACACUGGGACUGAGACACGGCCCAGACUCCGACGGGAGGCAGCAGUGGGGAAUAUUGGACAAUGGGCGCAAGCCUGCUCCAGCCAUGCCGCGUGAGUGAUGAAGGCCUUAGGGUUGUAAAGCUCUUUUGUCGGGGACGAUAAUGACGGUACCCGAAGAAUAAGCACCGGCUAACUACGUGCCAGCCGCCGCAGUAA
rnacentral:rRNA from 1 species